CCUACGGGUGGCAGCAGUGAGGAAUAUUGGUCAAUGGGCGAGAGCCUGAACCAGCCAAGUCGCGUGAGGGAGUACUGCCCUAUGGGUUGUAAACCUCUUUUGUCGGGGAGCAAAAGCAGGACGUGUCCGGCUGUGAGAGUACCCGAAGACAAAGCAUCGGCUAACUCCGUGCGAGCAGCCGCGGUAAUACGGGGGAUGCGAGGGUUAUCCGGAUUUAUUGGGUUAAAGGGGGGUGUAGGGGGAUUUUUAAGUCAGCGGUAAACUCGUGGGGCUCAACCCCAUCCAGCCGUUGAAACUGGGGAUCUAGAGUGUGCGAGAGGUAUGCGGAAUGCGUGGUGUAGCGGUGAAAUGCGUAGAUAUCACGCAGAACCCCGAUUGCGAAGGCAGCAUACCGGUGCACAACUGACGCUCAGGCACGAAAGCGUGGGUAUCGAACAGGAUUAGAUACCCUAGUAGUC
rnacentral:rRNA from 1 species